GAUGAACGCUAGCUACAGGCUUAACACAUGCAAGUCGAGGGACCGGCGCACGGGUGAGUAACACGUAUCCAACCUGCCCUUUACUCGGGGAUAGCCUUUCGAAAGACAGAUUAAUACCCGAUAUAAAGGAUGGGGGUGCGUUCCAUUAGGUUGUUGGUGAGGUAACGGCUCACCAAGCUUUCGAUGGAUAGGGGUUCUGAGAGGAAGGUCCCCGACAUUGGAACGGAGACACGGCCCAAACGCCUACGGGAGGAAGCGGUGGGGAAUAUUGGUCAAUGGGCGCUAGCCUGAACCAGCCAAGUAGCGGGAAGGAGGAAGGAGUAUGGGUCGUAAACUUCUUUUAUAUAAGAAUAUGUAUUAUAUGAAUAAGGAUCGGCUAACUCCGUGCCAGCAGCCGCGGUAAUAC
rnacentral:rRNA from 1 species